rnacentral:rRNA from 1 species
GAUGAACGCUGGCGGCGUGCCUAAUACAUGCGAGUCGAGCGAACAGACGAGGAGCUUGCUCCUCUGACGUUAGCGGCGGACGGGUGAGUAACACGUGGAUAACCUACCUAUAAGACUGGGAUAACUUCGGGAAACCGGAGCUAAUACCGGAUAAUAUAUUGAACCGCAUGGUUCAAUAGUGAAAGACGGUUUUGCUGUCACUUAUAGAUGGAUCCGCGCCGCAUUAGCUAGUUGGUAAGGUAACGGCUUACCAAGGCAACGAUGCGUAGCCGACCUGAGAGGGUGGUCGGCCACACUGGAACUGAGACACGGUCCAGACUCCUACGGGAGGCAGCAGUAGGGAAUCUUCCGCAAUGGGCGAAAGCCUGACGUAGCAACGCCGCGUGAGUGAUGAAGGUCUUCGGAUCGUAAAACUCUGUUAUUAGGGAAGAACAAAUGUGUAAGUAACUAUGCACGUCUUGACGGUACCUAAUCAGAAAGCCACGGCUAACUACGUG